UACGAAGGGGGGCUAGCGUUGCUCGGAAUCACUGGGCGUAAAGCGCACGUAGGCGGAUUGUUAAGUCAGGGGUGAAAUCCUGGAGCUCAACUCCAGAACUGCCUUUGAUACUGGCGAUCUCGAGUCCGGGAGAGGUGAGUGGAACUGCGAGUGUAGAGGUGAAAUUCGUAGAUAUUCGGCAAGAACACCAGUGGCGAAGGCGGCUCACUGGCCCGGUACUGACGCUGAGGUGCCGAAAG
rnacentral:rRNA from 1 species